rnacentral:rRNA from 1 species
UACGUAGGGGGCAAGCGUUGUCCGGAUUUAUUGGGCGUAAAGAGCGUGUAGGCGGCCAGGUAGGUCUGCUGUGAAAACUCGAGGCUCAACCUCGAGACGUCGGCGGAAACCAUCUGGCUAGAGUCCGGAAGAGGAGAGUGGAAUUCCUGGUGUAGCGGUGAAAUGCGCAGAUAUCGGGAGGAACACCAGUGGCGAAGGCGACUUCCUGGCCUGUUCUUGACGCUGAGGCGCGAAAGCUAGGGUAGCAAACGGG